rnacentral:tRNA from 1 species
AGCAGCAUGGCCUAGUGGAAAGAGCACAGGCUUUGGAGUCAGAGGACCUGGGUUAUAAUCCCAGCUCUGCUG